UGGAGAAUCUUGCACAAUGGGCGAAAGCCUGAUGCAGCAACGCCGCGUGAAGGAUGAAGGCCCUUGGGUCGUAAACUUCUGUUCUAAGGGAAGAUAGUGACGGUACCUUAGGAGCAAGUCCCGGCUAACUACGUGCCAGCAGCCGCGGUAAUACGUAGGGGGCGAGCGUUAUCCGGAAUUAUUGGGCGUAAAGAGUACGUAGGUGGUUUCCUAAGCGAGGGGUUUAAGGCAAUGGCUUAACCAUUGUUCGCCCCCCGAACUGGGUUACUUGAGUGCUGGAGGGGAAAGCGGAAUUCCUAGUGUAGCGGUGAAAUGCGUAGAUAUUAGGAGGAACACCAGUGGCGAAGGCGGCUUUCUGGACAGUAACUGACACUGAGGUACGAAAGUGUGGGGAGCAAACAGG
rnacentral:rRNA from 1 species